GGUUUCGUGGUCUAGUCGGUUAUGGCAUCUGUUUGUCACGCUGUUGGUAAUGUCCCCAGUUCGGUCCUGGGUGAAUUCC
rnacentral:tRNA from 1 species